UGUUGAAACUAGAGGUUACCUGUUAGAACUGCUGCUGUUGAAACUAGAGGUUACCUGUUGAAACUAGAGGUUACCUGUUGAAACUAGAGGUUACCUGUUGAAACUAGAGGUUACCUGUUGAAACUAGAGGUUACCUGUUAGAACUGCUGCUGUUGAAACUAGAGGUUACCUGUUGAAACUAGAGGUUACCUGUUGAAACUAGAGGUUACCUGUUGAAACUAGAGGUUACCUGUUAGAACUGAUGCUGUUGAAACUAGAGGUUACCUGUUGAAACUAGAGGUUACCUGUUGAAACUAGAGGUUACCUGUUAGAACUGAUGCUGUUGAAACUAGAGGUUACCUG